GUCUACAACCAUACAGCCCUGAACGCGCCUGAUCUCGUCUGGCCUCAGAAGCUAAGCGGGUUUGGGACCUGGUUAGUACUUUUGGAGGCUUCCCUGGUGGCUCAGACA
rfam:TPA: Bos taurus chromosome 15, whole genome shotgun sequence.